UUCUUAUUUGCUAUGCAUUGUCUCUUACUCCUAUCUUAAUUACUACACUUGCAAUAAAUUUUUAAGAACCUAGUUCAUUUCUCUUCUUAGGUUAUAUAUCUAAGCAACAAAAAUCUAUAAAACCAUGACCCAAAUCAUGAGAUCACAAAUCUGGAUGCUAGAGAAGGGCUGAGGGUUGUUUUAUAGCCUAAAUCUAGUGUUUUUCGAGGGAAAAUGACCUCAUCUCUCUAUGCCCAUUAGAAUCAAGGAAGAAGUCAAACUCCUGGAAGGAAUUUGAUCCUUCCCAUCUCACAUGCACCGCAUGAGGACUCUUUUUUGUUUAAAAUUUUUUUAUGCACCAUGGAUGAUGUAAAAAAUCCGACAUCGAGUGCACCAUCUCAUCUGAUUGAUUCAUGUAGUCAUCACUUUCCAACAUACAUUUAAUAUCUGCAGGUUGAUUUUUUUCAUUUAAAAAUUUUGUACGAUGAAAAUAUUUCUAACUUUUAAAAAAAAUUAUGGCAUCUUAUGGUAUAAUAUAGCCCAGGAUGUCAUAAUAUAGCCUAAGAUAUCAUAAUAUGAGAGGAAUAUUUUUAUCCAACUACUUUCCAACACGC
rnacentral:lncRNA from 1 species